GACGAACGCCGGCGGCGUGCCUAAUACAUGCAAGUUGAGCGAUGAAGAUUGGUGCUUGCCCCAAUUUGAAGAGCAGCGAACGGGUGAGUAACGCGUGGGGAAUCUGCCUUUGAGCGGGGGACAACAUUUGGAAACGAAUGCUAAUACCGCAUAACAACUUUAAACAUAAGUUUUAAGUUUGAAAGAUGCAAUUGCAUCACUCAAAGAUGAUCCCGCGUUGUAUUAGCUAGUUGGUGAGGUAAAGGCUCACCAAGGCGAUGAUACAUAGCCGACCUGAGAGGGUGAUCGGCCACAUUGGGACUGAGACACGGCCCAAACUCCUACGGGAGGCAGCAGUAGGGAAUCUUCGGCAAUGGACGAAAGUCUGACCGAGCAACGCCGCGUGAGUGAAGAAGGUUUUCGGAUCGUAAAACUCUGUUGGUAGAGAAGAACGUUGGUGAGAGUGGAAAGCUCAUCAAGUGACGGUAACUACCCAGAAAGGGACGGCUAACUACGUG
rnacentral:rRNA from 1 species